GAUGAACGCUGGCGGCGUGCCUAAUACAUGCAAGUCGAGCGAACGGACGAGAAGCUUGCUUCUCUGAUGUUAGCGGCGGACGGGUGAGUAACACGUGGAUAACCUACCUAUAAGACUGGGAUAACUUCGGGAAACCGGAGCUAAUACCGGAUAAUAUUUUGAACCGCAUGGUUCAAAAGUGAAAGACGGUCUUGCUGUCACUUAUAGAUGGAUCCGCGCUGCAUUAGCUAGUUGGUAAGGUAACGGCUUACCAAGGCAACGAUGCAUAGCCGACCUGAGAGGGUGAUCGGCCACACUAGAGCUGAGACACGGUCCAGACGCCUGAGGGAGGCAGCAGUAGGGAAUCUUCCGCAAUGGGCGAAAGCCUGACGGAGCAACGCCGCGUGAGUGAUGAAGGUCUUCGGAUCGUAAAACUCUGUUAUUAGGGAAGAACAUAUGUGUAAGUAACUGUGCACAUCUUGACGGUACCUAAUCAGAAAGCCACGGCUAACUACGUG
rnacentral:rRNA from 1 species